AUUGGCGGCGAGAAGCAAGACAAGAAGAGGACGCGCUUACGGCCUGGAGCUGGCUGGCUGGCUUUCCUGAUCUGAAGGUCGGAGAGCUACCCGAGGCCCCUUCCCCUCAGGGGGCGCAGAUCCUGGUUUCCAGCAGGAAAUAGAAAUGGAAGGGGUCCGGCGUCAGGAGGACUACAGCCCGGGAGCGGUCUCCUAGGCCACCCUCGGAGCUGAACAAGCCAUAUUUCCUGAAACCGAGGAGCUAUAAAAACUGAAAAAGGUGUUGCUCUAACACAACCUGAGAACAUCUAAGGAAGGUAAGUCCAAAGUAUUAUUUUUAUAGUAAAAUGACAUACUAUUUUGAAGUUGAAUUAAACUUUAGAGUUAUUCUCAUAUUUUAGUUCUUUGGAUGACAUUUUUCUUCUUGGUUGGCAUUCUGUGUUAAGAUUUCCUUGGGCAUUCUAUUUCUAGCUGUUAAAAUGUCUAAACUAUAGGAGAAAUUUUCAGUUAUUAAAUAGUGCUUUCAUAAAAUCAGAAGUAUCUUAAUUUUAAAAUAUCAUACUCAUAGUGAGUGUGAUUAACAAAAACAACUGUAUUGAGACUUGAGGAAGAGGUUACAAAUUUACCUUCCUAAUUAGUAGCCCCCCAACAUUCUGAACUUUAGGCUUUGCACCUUUCUCUCACACCUUGACCAUGUUGUUAAAUUAGCCCUGCUCCUUGUGCUGUAUGCAUGUGGUAAAAUUCCAUCUGAAUACUUCGAGGUUAAUAGGACUUUACAUUUUUUUUUCGUCUUUUUGCCAUUUUUUGGGCCGCUCCAGCGGCAUAUGGAGGUUCCCAUGCUAGGGGUCGAAUCCGAGCCAUAGCCGCUGGCCUGCGCCAGAGCCACAGCAACGCGGGAUCCGAGCCGCGUCUGCAACCUACACCACAGCUCACGGCAACGCCGGAUCGUUAACCCACUGAGCAAGGCCAGGGAUCCAACCUGCAACCUCUUGGUGCCUAGUUGGAUUCGUUAACCACUGCGCCACCAUGGGAACUCCAGGACUUUACAUUUUUAAUCUGCUCUCCAAUGAUUUACCUUCUUCUGUGGGUUUUUUCAUCCCCUUUGGUUGCUCGUGUUUUGCUGGGUAUUGCCACUCAUCAGGCAUCUCUUCUGUGCGCAUCGUGGCUGCUUCUUUUGGAUACAGCUGAAGAUGAAUGUACUGGGAACACGGAGAUGCCACUCUGCACUGUUCAUGGUUGAUUAUCUGCUAUAUACUCCAUCAGAGGGUUCCAAAAUGGUCUGCAGAAGUUCUGUCAAUAGUUUUAAUAUAAAAAGGUAUUUUCAUUUUUGUUUAUGGCCCUCUGUCUCCUGAGAACAUAGAUUUGAAUCCACAGUACUCUGAGUUAGGGCUGAUCCCAAUCUCAGAAACUGUGGUUCAUUCAGAAUUACUUCUCUAAGCACCAAGACUUUGUUUCAAGAUCAAGCUACCUAAUCUUCUCUUUGUUUAAGAUAAUAAGUUUACUCCCAGGAGGUUUCCCAGUCUUUCAUGUAAAAUAGAUUUCAGGUGGUUGUUUUCCUGUUCUUUCAAAAUUGCUCAGAUAUGUUUGAAUCCCAGUGAUGGAAACAGCUUAGACUGUAUAUUUAGGAAAUAGUUGGGACUAUUCCCUUUCCCAAUAAAUUCAAUCAGAAUCAGAUCUAUAUACACACUAUGAAUUACCAUGUUGGCAGAUGAAAACUUUGCUGAGCUUAACAAAUACCUUUUUAAUGUUUAAACAAUUUUUAAUAAGAAUGCCAUCCAUCUGUUGAAAGCCAAACAAUAAAUUGUGAACAGAAAAUGGAAUAGCCAAUGCAUGGAUAAGUUACUCUUUGUACUUAAACUUAGCUAAUUGUCAACAGAUUGAUAUCCACGCAGUCUGAGACAAACCUCUCAAGAUCAGAUUAAGGCAUUUUUGAUCUUUUUCUUUUGUUUUCUUUUCUUUCUCUCCUUCCUUCCUUCUUUCUUUCUUUCUUUUUUAGUGUGCCAUUCACCAUUUCAUAGGAGAGCAUGGUGCUUCUUUAUAGGAGAAGUUGGGUAGCAUCUGUAUAGCAUCAGGUCGCAUGUUCUCUAAUGGGGAGGUUAAGGAAAUUAUGUAAAAUGACUACAUAAUACAAGGUAAGUAAUAUUACUGAAGUAUAGGGAGUGAUUAAGUAAUGUCAAAUAUAAUAUGUACCUUAAAAGACAUGCCAAUAAAUUGUUUUAGGCUGUUCAAAGAUGGGCAAGAUAACAUCAGAAACUGUGAAAGAUUAUAUUCAAAGCAACAAUAUUUAGGCCAGCAGCAUACUUCUCAACGUUAACAGGUGACAUUUGAAGGUAAAGGAUGAGGGCUAGGAGUUCCCUGUGGUACAGUGGGUAUAGAAUCUGGCAUUGUUACUGCAACAGCUCAGGUUGCUCCUGUGGCCUGGGUUUGAUCCCUGGCCAGGGAACUUCUGCAUGCUGUUGGCACGGCCAAAAAAAAUAAUGGCAACAUAAGGGGGGAAGGGACAAAAAAAACAUUUUCAGACAAAAAGGUAUGGGAAUUUAUUACUCACCUUUGAUAAUUAUAAUAGAAGUUAUAGGAGAUACAGGAAGAAGUCUCUUAAACCUCGAAGGAAAGAGUAGACAGCAAGAAAAAAUAGUGUAUAAAAAGGUUGACUAUCAGAGUUCCUGUUGUGGCUCAGUGGUUAUGAAUCUGACUAGUAUCCAUGAGGAUGCGGGUUCAAUCCCUGGCCUUACCCAGUGGGUUAAGGAUUUGGCAUUGCCAUGAGCUGUGGUGUAGGUCGCAAAUAUGGCUAGGAUCUAGUAUUGCUGUGACUAUGGUGUAGGCCAGCAGCUGAAGCUCCGAUUCAGCCCCUAGCCUGGGAACUUCCAUAUGCCGCAGAUGUAGCCCUAAGAAGCAAACAAGACAAACAAACAAACAAAAAAGAGGUUGAUUAUCAUUGGAGUUCCCUGGGUCAGUGGAUUAAGGAUCUGGCAUUGUCACUGCUAUGGCACGGGUUUGAUCCCUGGCU
ensembl:lncRNA